GCUGAACUGGGGAAACAGAAAGACAGAUGGAGGAAAUCAAAUGAAUCAGAGUUCUGUUUUUACUGCAAGCCAUGAUGAAGUGGCAGGGCUGUGAAGCUUUCACCUUGAUUUUGUGGCGGGAGAGAUUAACAGAGAAGGAGACAAAGAGGGCGCCUGUGGCAAGGGACAUUGUGUUGGACAUCUGAAAACUUCAAGGCUAUAGAGAAGAAAAACAGCUGAGGAAUUCAACUUCUUUUCCACCUGGUUGUUAAGGUAAUCACCGCCCUGUUGUUUCGAGGGGAGAGCCAGACGGCCUGAACAAUAGCAUCGUGUAUAAACUUUCCCCAUUCACCUCAAAGGGCUUCAGUUCUAGCACCUCAUUAAGAUGGUUUAAAUGCUAAAGCUGCCGUUUUGUUGUUGAUUAUCAUAUCAGAAACCUUAACCUAACGCACUUAAUUAGUACAGCUGCAAGCCCUGGCAUGUCUUCAUGGAGGAGUAGAUUUCAAGUUUAAGCUAUCUAAAGACUGGAAUCGCAAGUCAAGUGCUCCUUAAGGCUGGUGGUUCACAGCUGACUUUGUCAAUGCUUGUAGUCUUGCUCUCUUUUCUACUUUUCUUUUGUCAUUCUUAUUCCACAGACAUAAUGUUGUUUUAGCCCAUGUUGAAUUUGUACCCACAUAACACAUCAUUAAGAUCAAAGCUGUAUCUCCGCGUGAGGUAGUAGUUAAUGUUUUCAUGCAAUUCGGUGUGACGUAUAAUUUUGAAG
rnacentral:lncRNA from 12 species